UGCGUAGGCGGACGAAUAAGUCAGUGGUGAAAUCUUUCGGCUCAACCGAGAAACUGCCAUUGAUACUGUUAGUCUUGAGUUCGGUUGAGGUAGGCGGAAUGUGUAAUGUAGCGGUGAAAUGCUUAGAUAUUACACAGAACACCAAUUGCGUAGGCAGCUUACUAGACCGACACUGACGCUGAGGCACGAAAGCGUGGGGAGCGAACAGGAUUAGAUACCCUGGUAGUCC
rnacentral:rRNA from 1 species